GAGUUUCAUGGCCCUCUGACUUUCCUGGCCAGAGAUAGACGGGGGGUGCAGUCUCAGGUAGAUAGCAAAGACAUGCUGCCGGAAAAUGCACCCCCACCAUAAAUGCUUUUCUGUUGGACCCUGCACCUCAUGACUUUUACAGUAUUAAAACAGGGUAAGUAUGAGUAACUAGGGUGAGUUUCAUGGCCCUCUGACCUUCCUGGCCAGAGAUAGUCACGGGGUGCAGUCUCAGGUAGACAGCAAAGACAUGCUGCCGGAAAAUGCACCCCCACCAUAAAUCCUUUUCUGUUGGACCCUGCACCUCAUGAUUUUUACAGUAUAAAGAGGGGAUAAGUAUGAGUAACUAGGGUGAGUUUCAUGGCCCUCUGACCUUCCUGGCCAGAGAUAGUCACGGGGUGCAUCUCUGAGCAAUGGCCUUAACAGCCUGCCAUGAAAUGUUUUCGCCAUACAUUGUACCUCAGCAUCAGGCACAUUUAAUUGGAUACUCUUGGUGCCGAA